UACGAAGGGGGCUAGCGUUGCUCGGAAUCACUGGGCGUAAAGCGCACGUAGGCGGAUCUUUAAGUCAGGGGUGAAAUCCCGGAGCUCAACUCCGGAACUGCCCUUGAUACUGAGGGUCUCGAGUUCGGGAGAGGUGAGUGGAACUGCGAGUGUAGAGGUGAAAUUCGUAGAUAUUCGCAAGAACACCAGUGGCGAAGGCGGCUCACUGGCCCGAUACUGACGCUGAGGUGCGAAAGCGUGGGGAGCAAACAGG
rnacentral:rRNA from 1 species